rnacentral:lncRNA from 1 species
GAGCCACUGUGUCCAGCCUAAGUAUUUGUCCUUCUGUGACCAACUUAUUUAGUGCAAUGUCUUCGAGGUUACCCAUGUUGUUGCAUGUGGCAGUAUUUCCUUUUUUUAAAGGCUGAAUAAUAUUCCAUCAUAUACCACAUUUUUUUUAGGGGGGCAGGGAUGGGGAUAAGGUUUCACUCUGUCAUCCAGGCUAGAGUGCAGCAGCAUGAUCACAGUUCACUGUAGCCUCUGACUCCCAGGCUCAAGCAGUCCUCCAACCACAGCCUCUGGAGUAGCUGGGACUACAGAUGCAUACCACUAUGCUAAUUCUUUUCUUAUAUAGAGAUGGAAUCUCCCUAUGUUGACCAGGCUGGUC